AAUGGGGGAAACCCUGACGCAGCAAUACCGCGUGAAUGAAGAAGGUCUUCGGAUCGUAAAGUUCUGUUAUUGGGGAAGAAAAAGACGGUACCCAAGGAGAAAGUUCCGGCUAACUACGUGCCAGCAGCCGCGGUAAUACGUAGGGAACAAGCGUUGUCCGGAUUUACUGGGCGUAAAGGGCACGCAGGCGGUUUUUUAAGUCAGAUGUGAAAGGUACCGGCUCAACCGGUGACAUGCAUUUGAAACUGAAAGACUUGAGUAUUGGAGAGGCAAGUGGAAUUCCUAGUGUAGCGGUGAAAUGCGUAGAGAUUAGGAGGAACACCAGUGGCGAAGGCGGCUUGCUGGACAAAUACUGACGCUGAGGUGCGAAAGCGUGGGGAGCAAA
rnacentral:rRNA from 1 species